CUUCGGAUGCUAGUGGCAGACGGGUGAGUAACACGUGGGAACGUACCUUUCGGUUCGGAAUAAUACAGGGAAACUUGUACUAAUACCGGAUACGCCCUUUGGGGGAAAGAUUUAUCGCCGAUAGAUCGGCCCGCGUCUGAUUAGCUAGUUGGUGAGGUAAUGGCUCACCAAGGCGACGAUCAGUAGCUGGUCUGAGAGGAUGAUCAGCCACACUGGGACUGAGACACGGCCCAGACUCCUACGGGAGGCAGCAGUGGGGAAUAUUGGACAAUGGGCGAAAGCCUGAUCCAGCCAUGCCGCGUGUGUGAUGAAGGCCUUAGGGUUGUAAAGCACUUUUGUCCGGGAAGAUAAUGACUGUACCGGAAGAAUAAGCCCCGGCUAACUUCGUGCCAGCAGCCGCGGUAAUA
rnacentral:rRNA from 1 species